ACUCCUACGGGAGGCAGCAGUGGGGAAUCUUCCGCAAUGGACGAAAGUCUGACGGAGCAACGCCGCGUGAGUGAUGAAGGUUUUCGGAUCGUAAAACUCUGUUGUUAGGGAAGAACAAGUACCGGAGUAACUGCCGGUGCCUUGACGGUACCUAACCAGAAAGCCACGGCUAACUACGUGCCAGCAGCCGCGGUAAUACGUAGGUGGCAAGCGUUGUCCGGAAUUAUUGGGGCGUAAAGCGCGCGCAGGUGGUCUCUUAAGUCUGAUGUGAAAGCCCCCGGCUCAACCGGGGAGGGUCAUUGGAAACUGGGAGGCUUGAGUGCAGGAGAGAAGAGUGGAAUUCCACGUGUAGCGGUGAAAUGCGUAGAGAUGUGGAGGAACACCAGUGGCGAAGGCGACUCUUUGGCCUGUAACUGACACUGAGGCGCGAAAGCGUGGGGAGCAAACAGGAUUAGAUACCCUGGUAGCGACUAA
rnacentral:rRNA from 1 species